rnacentral:rRNA from 1 species
AGAGUUUGAUCCUGGCUCAGGGUAAACGCUGGCGGCGUGACUAAGGCAUGCAAGUCGAACGCCCCACUUCGGUGGGGAGUGGCAAACGGGUGAGUAACACAUUGGUAAUCUACCCCAAAGACGGGAAUAACUUCGGGAAACCGGAGCUAAUACCCGAUAUGUUCUAAGUUCAUAAGGAUUUAGAAUAAAGUUCAGGCGCUUUGGGAUGAGCCUAUGUCUCAUCAGCUAGUUGGUAAGGUGAAAGCUUACCGAGGCUAUGACGAGUAGCGGGUGUGAGAGCACGACCCGCCUCACUGGGACUGAGACACUGCCCAGACUCCUACGGGAGGCUGCAGUCAUGAAUAUUCCACAAUGCACGAAAGUGUGAUGGAGCGACGCCGCGUGAUUGAAGACGCCCUUCGGGGUGUAAAAAUCUUUUAUUAGGGACGAACAAAUGACGGUACCUAAUGAAUAAGGGGCUGCUAAUCUCGUGCCAGCAGCAGCGGUAAUACGAGAGCCCCAAGCGUUACCCGGAUUUAUUGGGCGUAAAGCGUGUGCAGGUGGUUUAUUAAGUCAGUGGUAAAAUACUGCAGCUCAACUGUAGUUCUGCCACUGAAACUGACAAACUAGAGGCUGGAAGAGGCAAACGGAAUUGCCGGUGUAGGGGUCAAAUCCGUUAAUAUCGGCAAGAACACCAAAUGCGAAGGCAGUUUGCUAGGACAGUCCUGACACUCAUACACGAAAGCGUGGGGAGCGAAGCGGAUUAGAUACCCGCGUAGUCCACGCUGUAAACGAUGGAUACUAGACAUUGGGAGUAUCGACCCUCUCAGUGUCGUUUAAAAAAGCUAACGCGUUAAGUAUCCCGCCUGGGGAGUACGGCCGCAAGGCUAAAACUCAAAGGAAUUGGCGGGGACUCGCACAAGCGGUGGAGCACGUGGUUUAAUUCGACGAUAAGCGGGGAAUCUUACCAAGGUUUGACAUAUAGCUGCACGCCUCUAGAAAUAGAGGAAUCCUUCGAGGGUGCUAUACAGAUGCUGCAUGGUUGCCGUCAGCUCGUGUCGUGAGAUGUACGGUUAAGUCCGAUAACGAGCGCAACCCCUAUUCCAAUUUGUACUUUAUUGGAAAACUGCCUCGGAUAACGGGGAGGAAGGUGGGGACGACGUCAAAUCAGCAUGGCUCUUACACCUUGGGCUACACACAUGCUACAAUGGCCAGUACAAAGGGUUGCCAAGUCGAAAGGCGGAGCUAAUCCCAUCAAAACUGGUCCCAGUUCGGAUUGAGGUCUGAAACUCGACCUCAUGAAGUUGGAAUCGCUAGUAACCGUAAAUCAGAACGUUACGGUGAAUACGUUCUCGAGUCUUGUGCACACCGCCCGUCACGUCAAGAGAGUCGAUAAUGCCCGAAUGUCGUUGUAGGACGACAGAAGGUAGGAUCGAUGAUAGGGGCGAAGUCGUAACAAGGCA